CAGUUUGAAAAACUGUUUCCUGUCUUUUUUGGUUUGGCGCUGAACUAGGCAGGCCAAAAACUAUUGUGAACCUAAAUUGAUAUGUGGGCCGGAUCAAAAUCUGCGAGGGGCCGGAUUUGGCCCGCGGUCGUGAGUUUGACACUUUGUCUGGAUUGCUUU